GGCACAGUGGUUUAGUGGUCAUCACGUUUGCCUCACACCUUAGGGGUUGGGGGUUUGAAUCCAGCCUCUGCCU